CUGAUAUAAAUAUUAAAGGGCUGCAGUAUUUUGACUGUACAAAGGUAGCAUAAUCAUUAGUCUCUUAAUUGGUGACUUGUAUGAAAGAUUGGAUGAAAUAUAAACUGUCUCUAAUUUAUUAAAAGAAUUUAAUUUUUUGAUUAAAAAGUCAAAAUAAAUUUAAAAGACGAGAAGACCCUAUAGAGUUUUAUAUUUAAAUUAAUUGAGAUUAUUUUUUAGAAUAAUAAUUAAAAUUAAUUAAAGUAUUUUGUUGGGGUGAUAAAAAAAUAUAAAUAACUUUUUUUAAAUAAUUUCAUAAAUAAGUGAGUAAUUGAUCCAAAAUUUUUGAUUAAAAGAAAAAAUUACCUUAGGGAUAACAGCGUAAUUUUUUUUUUUAGUUCAAAUAAAAAAAAGAGUUUGCGACCUCGAUGUUGGAUUAAGAUAAAAUUUAUAUGCAAAAGUAUAAAAUUUUGAUCUGUUCGAUC
rnacentral:rRNA from 1 species